GAUGAACGCUGGCGGCGUGCCUAAUACAUGCAAGUCGAGCGAACGGACGAGAAGCUUGCUUCUCUGAUGUUAGCGGCGGACGGGUGAGUAACACGUGGAUAACCUACCUAUAAGACUGGGAUAACUUCGGGAAACCGGAGCUAAUACCGGAUAAUAUUUUGAACCGCAUGGUUCAAAAGUGAAAGACGGUCUUGCUGUCACUUAUAGAUGGAUCCGCGCUGCAUUAGCUAGUUGGUAAGGUAACGGCUUACCAAGGCAACGAUGCAUAGCCGACCUGAGAGGGGGAUCGGCCACACUGGAACUGAGACACGGUCCAGACUCCUACGGGAGGGAGCAGUAGGGAAUCUUCCGCAAUGGGCGAAAGCCUGACGGAGCAACGCCGCGUGAGUGAUGAAGGUCUUCGGAUCGUAAAACUCUGUUAUUAGGGAAGAACAUAUGUGUAAGUAACUGUGCACAUCUUGACGGUACCUAAUCAGAAAGCCACGGCUAACUACGUG
rnacentral:rRNA from 1 species